CAGGUGGUCAUUUUUAUUAGCCUGAUUAAUUGGUUUAUCAGUUUGUGCCUUGUGGCUGUGCGGUGUAGAUGGUGGUUGUUUACUUGUUCAAACAAAGCGUAGAGUCGCGUGCCUACUUUGGUGCUUGUAAUCAAGAUGAAGCAACUCAUGGCAAACCAUGAAUUCACACAAUGGAGUGACACAGGGCUAGGCACAGCCCAAAGACUUCCAUUCUGCACCCCGUGGAGUGACAGGGCAGGGCGCAGCCUGUGUGCCACAGCGGGGGAUUGUUACAUACAUACAUGCCGCGCCUGCUGUGUUUUAACUGGAAAUAUGUAAACGUACAUCCAUUUCAAAACAUCCGUGUGUCAGUUUGCACUUCCUUGCUCGAUGCUGACUUGAUAUAAGGUCGCUGUCCCCCGAGCGUCUCCACCAGGGAGCCAGUAGUGUUCGUAUCUUUAAAGUCAAGUGAGAACUGUAGACAACUGGUGCAGCAAUUUGAACCUUUCAGGUCUUUAUGAUUCCUCUAGUUGUCUCACAUUCAUCUGAGUUGACAGCAGUUUUUAAAGUGAGUCAUCUUUUUAGUCUUUUCAAAGCUUUUGACUUCAUUUUCAUGUAAAAGUCAACUUUCUUUUCAUAGUCAUAUCGUACUUUAUGUAACACGUCAGUAAAUAGCACAAUCAUAAUAACAGACUUAAUUGGCACAAACCAGGUAGGAAACAGAGGCACUGUGGGUACAUGCGAUUUGUGUGGAUGUUUUUCAGCUGCAGAGCUCCAGGUCUACCUCAAGCAAGAGCUAGUUAAUGGAACCCCAUGGUGUCAUUGCUAUGUAGAUUUAAAAAAAAAAAACAAUUAAAGUCAAAAAGUUAGAUUCUUAUUUGUCAGUAUUGGGGGCAGGCAGUUUUAUAUAUAGGUGUCCUUAAAUCAGUGCACUUACUUUUAGAAGGAGAGACCUGAACCCCACUGUGUUCGUCGUUCCCAAACUAAGAGACCAAUCAGCUCCUGCCCUUGUGCGGCUGCUGGGUCUCGCUUACUCAUCCCAUCUUUGCUUCCCUCUCCAAGAUGGCCGGUUGGUGUCCUCAGAAAAUGAG
rnacentral:lncRNA from 1 species